rnacentral:lncRNA from 1 species
AUCAAAGUCCAUGUAGUUCGAGAACACGUACUUUUCACCAAAGCGCGCGGAUGGCUUCAGAAUGUGUUGACUCGAACUUCAAUGCUCUGUCUCGAAUUUUGAUAACCCCCUAAAUCAUUGAUCGACUAAACCAAGUAGUGUCCUAGAUUAUAGUAGAGUCGUGUACAAAUACACUUUCCGUAAAGAAUAUUCCUACCCUUUUCCAAAGUCUAGGUCAAAAGAAAUUUAGUCGUAGGAUAAAACUACCAACACCAUCAAAAUCAAGGCUCAAUGAAAUUGAAGAACACUAAGAACUAGUGAAACGGUAGAUAUUUUGUGAGUGUACAUGCGAAGUACAGAACAACAUGACUACACCGUCAUUACUAAGAAUCAUUGCAUCUCCCAAAUAGAAAAACCUUUU